AUUACUAAUUUCUGUGAAUCUAUUUCCUUUUUAGCCCAUGCCAAAAUGAAUGACUUCUUUCCUAAUUUGGAAAUAAAUUCACUUUAUGAAAUGAUUUACAGCCACACAAAUAUUCAAGACUUAUUUUGAACCACAAGUUUCAAAAGUGUUCACUCUUUCUUAAAUGUCGUGCCCAGUCAAAUAGGUUCACGUAAAUUGAAACGGAGGGAGUAUAUAGUUGAUGGGGAUGAUGGUAUUAGGGCCAUCCUCAGCCUAGUGUGUGAGGAAUAUAAAGUCAUCAACUUCUUUGUUGUGUUAGAGGGUGAAGAGACAGUCUUUGCUGAACAUGUCACACACCAUACUGAAACUUACCUUGUAGUUGUGGGGGUUGGUAUAGACUGUGAACAUAGUCUUGGUUCUGCUGAUGAAUGGGAUCUCUCUGGGGAUGAGGAGUAUGAUUUUGAGGGACUAAAGGCUAUUAACAAGGAAAAGGGAAAGGUAGUAGGUGAUAGGUUGGAAAACUAUAGUGAGUUGGAAGUUGGUAUGUCAUUUAAGGACCUAGAAAAAGGCAGGCAGGUUGUGAACUAUUAUGCAUUAGCUAACAAAGGGCUUUGACAAUAAUUAAGGCUGAUACUAGUAGAACUAGAUAUCAUUGUAAAAAGGGGUGUCCCUUUAGGUGUUUGAUUUCAAAAGAUGGUAACAGUAAAGGGUUCAAGAUCAAAACUUUGAUCAAACAACACACAUGUGAUGAGACCUUUCUGAAUCCUAGGGCUGAUGCAACCACUUUGGCUCAAUACUUUAAGAAUAAGCUUCAAAAUAACCCCAAGUACAAGGUCAAAGACAUGAGAGGAGAGCUUGAAACUGGUUUAAAAUUGAAUGUGUCCCAAUCUAAAUUGAAAAGGGCUAAGUCUAUGAUUCUUGAGAAGUUGAAAGGUAGUUUUAUAGAUGACUACAACAAGUUUGAGGCCUAUGGGCAAAAGCUUAGACAGUCUAAUCUCGGAAGUGAUAAAUAUCUCCAAAGAUGCUCUAGAAGAAGGAAAAAGGAAAUUCUUAUGGAUGUACUUGUGCUUUAAUGCUUUGAAGAAAGGCUGAAAAUCUGGAUUGAGGCCACUAAUUGGCCUUGAUGGUACAUUCUUGAAAGGUAGAGUUAAAGGCAUCUUGUUGGUUGCACUAGGACAAGAUUCUAUGAACCAUUUCUUUCCAUUAACUUGGGCAAUAAUGGACAAAGAAACCAGCAGGACAUGGUCCUGGUUUUGUGAGCUACUGAAGAGGUCUUUGGACCUUAAAGAAGGUGCUAGGAUCACAUUCAUUUUAAAUAUUCAAAAGGGAUUGAUAGAUGUUGUUGACAAAAUUCUGCCUGAAGCUAAUCACAGGUUUUGUGUAGGGCAUAUUGAGAGUAAUUGGUGCAAAAAUGGAGUGGCCAAAUGAGGAAUUUUAUGUGGUGGUGUGCAUGGAGUACAUAUGAUGAAAAGUUCAAGGACCAGUUGAAGAAGUUGGGAAAUUUAUCAGAAGAGGCUGCAAGGGACUUGGUGAAAUAUCCACCAAGGGCAUGGUGCAGGGCUUAUUUGGACACUCAAUGUAAGAACAUGAUGGUUGAUAACAACUUCACUGAGUCAUUCAAUUCCUGGAUCCUUGAGGCUAGACAAAAGCUAAUAAUCAAGAUGUUACAAAUUCUUGAAUGGUCUAUUAUGUUUUGAUAAAAUUUUGAGCUGAAAUGGUUAUGUAUUGUGUUGAAUGUUUGUUAUACUUAAAUGGGUUGUUUUUGAAAUUCUAGUGAAAUCCACCUAAAUAAUAGCAGGGUCUGAGCUGAAUAUCAUAAGUUGAUGUUAACUUCAGGCCCUUUAAAAUGGCAAUGAAUUCUUGGUUAACUCUUUUCUGGGUGUUUGUCAAAUUUCCAUCUUGUUGUGUUGGACUAAA